GCCCUCUUAGCUCAGGGGAUAGAGCGUCUGCCUCCGGAGCAGAAGGCCGCAGGUUCGAAUCCUGCAGAGGGCACCA
rnacentral:tRNA from 1 species